rnacentral:rRNA from 2 species
CAUGCAGUCGAACGAACUCUGGUAUUGAUUGGUGCUUGCAUCAUGAUUUACAUUUGAGUGAGUGGCGAACUGGUGAGUAACACGUGGGAAACCUGCCCAGAAGCGGGGGAUAACACCUGGAAACAGAUGCUAAUACCGCAUAACAACUUGGACCGCAUGGUCCGAGCUUGAAAGAUGGCUUCGGCUAUCACUUUUGGAUGGUCCCGCGGCGUAUUAGCUAGAUGGUGGGGUAACGGCUCACCAUGGCAAUGAUACGUAGCCGACCUGAGAGGGUAAUCGGCCACAUUGGGACUGAGACACGGCCCAAACUCCUACGGGAGGCAGCAGUAGGGAAUCUUCCACAAUGGACGAAAGUCUGAUGGAGCAACGCCGCGUGAGUGAAGAAGGGUUUCGGCUCGUAAAACUC